rnacentral:rRNA from 1 species
UGCUAGUCGCGUGCUUCAGCCAAAACGAGGCACGGCAAACAGCUCAGUAACACGUGGCUAAUCUGCCCUUAGGACAAGAAUACCCCCGGGAAACUGGGGCUAAUUCUCGAUAGGUGAAGAACUCUGGAAUGAGUCUUUGCCUAAAAGAGCUUACGUUAUGCUCGUAAGUUUCGCCUAAGGAUGAGGCCGCGACCGAUCAGGUUGUUGGUGAGGUAAUGGCUCACCAAGCCUUUUACCGGUGCGGGCCGUGAGAGCGGGAGCCCGGAGAUGGGCACUGAGACAAGGGCCCAGGCCCUACGGGGCGCAGCAGUCGCGAAAACUUUGCAAUACACGAAAGUGUGACAGGGCUAUCCCGAGUGCCAUCCGCUGAGGAAGGCUUUUACCCAGUCUAGAACGCUGGGGGAAUAAGGAGAGGGCAAGUCUGGUGUCAGCCGCCGCGGUAAUACCAGCUCUCCGGGUGGUGUGGAUGUUUAUUGGGCCUAAAGCAUCCGUAGCUGGCUAAGUUAGUCCUUUGUUAAAUCCACCGAAUUAAUCGUUGGAUCGCGGGGGAUACUGCUUGGCUAGGGGACGAGAGAGGCAGACGGUAUUUUUGGGGUAGGGGUGAAAUCCUAUAAUCCCAGGAAGACCACCAGUGGCGAAGGCUGUCUGCUAGAACGCGCCCGACGGUGAGGGAUGAAAGCUGGGGGAGCGAACCGGAUUAGAUACCCGGGUAGUCCCAGCUGUAAACGAUGCAGCUAGGUGUUUGGACGGCCACGUGCCGUUCUAGUGCCGCAGGAAAGCUGUUAAGCCUGCCGCCUGGGGAGUACGAUCGCAAGAUUGAAACUUAA